UUGAAGAAGAAGAACACCAAGAUCCAACGUGAUCGGGCAAAAUUUGGCUAUUUUUAGAGUCUUUGCUCCGUUCUCAUUACACAACAAUGAGCAAAAAGGGGCAGCUGUAAUACCUUAAUUCUGCCUGGCCCAAAUCAAACAAGUAAGCAAAAAAUAUCAAAAAAAAAAAACCAAAUCAGCAAAUAAAGGUCCAAACGUCCAAUUACAUCAACCCAAUUCAACCUAGCCCAAAACCUUACCCAGACCCAAAUCAUUUUUACCCAAGCCCAAUACAAACCCACUAAGCCAAAUUAACUAACCCUGGCCCAACCUAGCCUUCAGCAACCCAACACCAAA
rnacentral:lncRNA from 1 species